rnacentral:rRNA from 1 species
GACGAACGCUGGCGGCGUGCUUAACACAUGCAAGUCGAACGGAAAGGCCCUGCUUUUGUGGGGUGCUCGAGUGGCGAACGGGUGAGUAACACGUGAGUAACCUGCCCUUGACUUUGGGAUAACUUCAGGAAACUGGGGCUAAUACCGGAUAGGAGCUCCUGCUGCAUGGUGGGGGUUGGAAAGUUUCGGCGGUUGGGGAUGGACUCGCGGCUUAUCAGCUUGUUGGUGGGGUAGUGGCUUACCAAGGCUUUGACGGGUAGCCGGCCUGGGAGGGUGACCGGCGACCUUGGGACUGAGAUACGGCCCAGACUCCUACGGGGGGCAGCAGUGGGGAAUCUUGCACAAUGGGCGGGAGCCUGAUGCAGCAACGCCGCGUGCGGGAUGACGGCCUUCGGGUUGUAAACCGCUUUCGCCUGUGACGAAGCGUGAGUGACGGUAAUGGGUAAAGAAGCACCGGCUAACUACGUG